GCCGGUGUUAAUGGCGAUGAGGAACCACCUGUUCCCAUACCGAACACAGAAGUUAAGCUCAUCUGCGCCGACAAUACUUGGCGGGCGACUGCCUGGGAAGAUAGGUCGAUGCCGGC
rnacentral:rRNA from 1 species